GUUUGUGAUUGUGAAAAGAAAACGUGAGUGUAGCGUAGGUGGGAGACGCAAGUCGAACCUGAAACACCACCAUCAAGUUAUUCUUUUCGCUGAAAAUUGAAAAGGGGUAAUUGGCUAAUUACAAACGCAGCGAAUGCUGCGGGUCAAUUACUUUGCUUUUGGCGUCGAAGGAAUAGUGAAAAUUUUCGAAAGAUUUUAAUGUGUCGAGCGUGUGCGGAGAACUCUACGGAUACGCGAGGAAGCGUCAAUUGUGUUGCGGGCUUCAUUGUUCGUCACAAUCCUUUGCCUUGUGUAAUACUCUGCGCGGCGUCUUGACAGCCACACUAUUGCCGACCUUUUAUUUUGACAUUUACAGAUGGGGAGUUUGACUGGGGCGGUACGAAUGCCGAAAAGAUAGCGGCAUGUCCAAGAGCAGCUC
rnacentral:rRNA from 1 species